rnacentral:snRNA from 1 species
UUGCUUCAGCUGCUCAUAUACUAAAAUUGGAACAAUACAGAGAAGAUAAGCAUGACUCCUGUUUAAGGAUGACAUGCUUUUUUAUUUUUU